rnacentral:sRNA from 12 species
CAACAAACUAGCUUGACGAAGCGAAAAGCAGACCUGUGAACUGCCUGUUUGUUGUUUUUGUUAUUCACA